AUGCUGACUGUGCCACAGAGGAUGGAUGGUGAAUUAUUCACAGAUUCAGAGCAGGAUUGGAGCAGCUCAUCAGAAUCUGACUGGAUGAGUGAGACGGGAAAAAGGAAAGGAAAACAAGGGGUAAAAAGAAAGAUGGAUCAACAAAAUGGUAAAACAAAGAAAAUAGCCAGAACUAAAAACUCUAGGCUUCCAGACCUGAAGAAGAUGAAUGCUGAAUCAGUUAUGAAGCAGAUUAAGCCAGAAUGUGAACUGAAGGAAAUCUGCUCAGAAACUGAUUUUAAUGAAGAUGACAGAAAGAGAAUGAAAGAACAAAGGAAAAAGCAAAGAUGCUUCAAGCAGAGUAACAACAAGAGGCCAUUUUCACACCAAAUGUCCAGUGUAAACAGGCAGACCAAGAAUAAAAAUGACACGGGGGUAGACCUAUCAGAUGUCUUUCAAGAAGUCAGAAAUAAGAAACUACUGGCUGUUCGUUGUGGAAAAAUGGCAGGUUGUCUGUACAGAAUAAAAUAUGACAAUGGAGAGAAGUGUAUUUCAUGUAAAGGGAAAUGGUUUACGCCCGGACAGUUUGAGGAGUUUGGAGGAAAAGGGCAUCACAAGAAGUGGAAGGGUAGCAUCUAUUACAAGCCAUCAAAUGGCCUUCAACAAGUUAAAUUGCUGAAACUCAUACAAAAUGGGUGUCUUUCAGAAUUUGGACAACUGAGAGAGUCAAAUAGACAGGUGACACAGACAGAUAGAGACGGUGCGAACUCAGUGCAAAAUGUAACAAGGAGGAGUGAAUUAAUUAACUCCUUAAAAGGUUUUCCAGAGUCCUGGAAAAGACUGUUUUCCAAGACUCUGGAAAUACCUGUGUGUGGAAUUGACAAGAAAACAAUCCUGCCGGACAGUUCUUCGGAAGAGUCUGUAUCUGUUGCUGAGAGAGUCAAAAUGAACAGGAGAGAAUCUGUGAUUUUAGCUGAAACUGUCAGUAAAAAGAUGACAGAACCGGUAGAAUCUACUGCCAAUGCUAGAGAUUCAUCUGCACCUCCCACUGAUGCUACAGAACCUGCAGUAUCUCCUGUCAUAGAGGAGGCCAGUCAGACCACAGAUGAAGCAGCAGCUCAGCUGAACUUCAGUGAUUCUCCUGCUGAAUGGCAGAAUCCUGUUGUUUCUGAAGAGACUGAGAAGACCAGCCAGAUGCAGCUAUUUGAAUUUCUGGCAAACCAGUUUAAUACUAUCAAUAACACCCUACAAUCAAUUGAUUUGUCUUUAAAGAAGCUGGUGGAAAAACAGUCACAAAACACACUGCCUCAAUACAUCAGUCUAACUCCUGCUGUUAUUGAAAAUCCCCAGAUUAAUUCCUUAGUCAAGAAGGAGCAAAUUACGGAAGUUUUAAAUAGUCAAGUAGACUAA
ensembl:lncRNA